rnacentral:rRNA from 1 species
ACCCGCUGAACUUAAGCAUAUCAAUAAGCGGAGGAAAAGAAACCAACAGGGAUUGCCUUAGUAACGGCGAGUGAAGCGGCAACAGCUCAAAUUUGAAAUCUGGCCUCUUUGGGGUCCGAGUUGUAAUUUGCAGAGGGCGCUUUGGCGUUGGCAGCGGUCCAAGUUCCUUGGAACAGGACGUCACAGAGGGUGAGAAUCCCGUACGUGGUCGCUAGCCUUCGCCGUGUAAAGCCCCUUCGACGAGUCGAGUUGUUUGGGAAUGCAGCUCUAAAUGGGAGGUAAAUUUCUUCUAAAGCUAAAUACUGGCCAGAGACCGAUAGCGCACAAGUAGAGUGAUCGAAAGAUGAAAAGCACUUUGGAAAGAGAGUCAAACAGCACGUGAAAUUGUUGAAAGGGAAGCGCUUGCAGCCAGACUUGCCUGUAGUUGCUCAUCCGGGCUUUUGCCCGGUGCACUCUUCUGCGGGCAGGCCAGCAUCAGUUUGGGCGGUUGGAUAAAGGUCUCUGUCAUGUACCUCUCUUCGGGGAGGCCUUAUAGGGGAGACGACAUGCAACCAGCCCAGACUGAGGUCCGCGCAUUUACUAGGAUGCUGGCGUAAUGGCUGU